GAUGAACGCUGGCGGCGUGCCUAAUACAUGCAAGUCGAGUGAACGGACGAGAAGCUUGCUUCUCUGAUGUUAGCGGCGGACGGGUGAGUAACACGUGGAUAACCUACCUAUAAGACUGGGAUAACUUCGGGAAACCGGAGCUAAUACCGGAUGAUAUUUUGAACCGCAUGGUUCAAAAGUGAAAGACGGUCUUGCUGUCACUUAUAGAUGGAUCCGCGCUGCAUUAGCUAGUUGGUAAGGUAACGGCUUACCAAGGAAACGAUGCAUAGCCGACCUGAGAGGGUGAUCGGCCACACUGGAACUGAGACACGGUCCAGACUCCUACGGGAGGCAGCAGUAGGGAAUCUUCCGCAAUGGGCGAAAGCCUGACGGAGCAACGCCGCGUGAGUGAUGAAGGUCUUCGGAUCGUAAAACUCUGUUAUUAGGGAAGAACAUAUGUGUAAGUAACUGUGCACAUCUUGACGGUACCUAAUCAGAAAGCCACGGCUAACUACGUG
rnacentral:rRNA from 1 species